GAUGAACGCUGGCGGCGUGCCUAAUACAUGCAAGUCGAGCGCACGGACGAGAAGCUUGCUUCUCUGAUGUUAGCGGCGGACGUGUGAGUAACACGUGGAUAACCUACCUAUCAGACUGGGAUAACUUCGGGAAACCGGAGCUAAUACCGGAUAAUCUUUUGAACCGCAUUGUUCAAAAGUGAAAGACGGUCUUGCUGUCACUUAUAGAUGGAUCCGCGCUGCAUUAGCUAGUUGGUAAGGUAACGGCUUACCAAGGCAACGAUGCAUAGCCGACCUGAGAGGGUGAUCGGCCACACUGGAACUGAGACACGGUCCAGACUCCUACGGGAGGCAGCAGUAGGGAAUCUUCCGCAAUGGGCGAAAGCCUGACGGAGCAACGCCGCGUGAGUGAGGAAGGUCUUCGGAUCGUAAAACUCUGUUAUUAGGGAAGAACAGAUGUGGAAGUAACUGUGCACAUCUUGACGGUACCUAAUCAGAAAGCCACGGCUAACUACGUG
rnacentral:rRNA from 1 species